AAGUCGUAACAAGGUUUCCGUAGGUGAACCUGCGGAAGGAUCAUUACCGAGUUCAUGCCCUCACGGGUAGACCUCCCACCCUUUGUAUACCUUACCUCUUGUUGCUCCGGUGGGCUUCGACCGGCCUCGGCUGGGAAGCGCUCGCCGGACAGCAUACCCAACCCAUUAUAGUGUCGUCUGAGAAAAAAGUUUAAUAUUUAAAACUUUCAACAACGGAUCUCUUGGCUCUGGCAUCGAUGAAGAACGCAGCGAAAUGCGAUAAGUAAUGUGAAUUGCAGAAUUCAGUGAAUCAUCGAAUCUUUGAACGCACAUUGCGCCCCUUGGUAUUCCGAGGGGCAUGCCUAUUCGAGCGUCAUUAUCACCCCUCAAGCUCCGGCUUGGUGUUGAGGCCUGCUGUAAAGGCAUCCUCUAAAAUCAGUGGCAGUGCCGUCAGGCUCUAAGCGUAGUAAUUUCGUCGCUAUAGAUCCUGGCGGACCCUCGCCAGAACCCCCCCAUUUUUUAAUGAUUGACCUCGGAUUAGGUAGGGAUACCCGCUGAACUUAAGCGUAUCAAUAAGCGGAGGAAAAGAAACCAACAGGGAUUGCCUCAGUAACGGCGAGUGAAGCGGCAAAAGCUCAAAUUUGAAAUCUGGCUCUUUCAGGGUCCGAGUUGUAAUUUGUAGAAGAUGUUUCGGGUGUGGCUCCGGUUUAAGUUCUUUGGAAUAUUACAUCAUAGAGGGUGAGAAUCCCGUAUGUGACCGGCAGCCUUCGCCCAUGUGAAACUCUUUCGACGAGUCGAGUUGUUUGGGAAUGCAGCUCAAAAUGGGAGGUAUAUUUCCUCUAAAGCUAAAUAUAGGCCAGAGACCGAUAGCGCACAAGUAGAGUGAUCGAAAGAUGAAAAGCACUUUGGAAAGAGAGUUAAACAGUACGUGAAAUUGUUGAAAGGGAAGCGCUUGCAACCAGACUUGCACGCAGUUGAUCAUCCGGUGUUCUCACCGGGGCACUCUGCUGCGUUCAGGCCAGCAUCGGUUUCGGUGGUUGGAUAAAGGCCUUGGGAAUGUGGCUUCCUUCGGGGAGUGUUAUAGCCCUCGGUGCAAUGCAGCCUACCGGGACCGAGGACCGCGCUUCGGCUAGGAUGCUGGCGUAAUGGUUGUAAGCGACC
rnacentral:rRNA from 1 species